rnacentral:rRNA from 1 species
UACGUAGGAGGCAAGCGUUGUCCGGAGUUACUGGGCGUAAAGCGCUUGUAGGCGGUCCACCAAGUUUGGGGUGACAGUUGCCGACUUAAUCGGCAAAGUGCCUCAAAGACUGGCGGACUUGAGGGCCACAGAGGGACAUGGAACUCCAGGUGUAGUGGUGAAAUGCGUAGAUAUCUGGAAGAACACCAAAGGCGAAGGCAGUGUCCUGGGUGGUCGCUGACGCUGAGGUGCGAAAGCCAGGGGAGCGAACGGG